GAUGAAGAACGUAGCGAAAUGCGAUACUUGGUGUGAAUUGCAGAAUCCCGUGAACCAUCGAGUCUUUGAACGCAAGUUGCGCCCGAAGCCAUUAGGCCGAGGGAACGCCUGCCUGGGCGUCACACGUCGUUGCCCCCCCCAUCUACUCCUUCGGGAUUGCGGGGGGCGGAUGAUGGCCUCCCGUGCGCCUCGCCGCGCGGUUGGCAUAAAUGCCAAGUCCUCGGCGAUGCACGCCACGACAAUCGGUGGUUGCGAAACCUCGGUUGCCCGUCGUGUGCGGUCGUCGCGCAUCGAGGGCUCGAAAAAAUUGCCGGGUUCCGGCUCGGCUUUCAACGCGACCCCAGGUCAGGCGGGGUUACCCGCUGAAUUUAAGCAUAUCAAUAAGCGGAGGA
rnacentral:misc_RNA from 1 species